rnacentral:misc_RNA from 1 species
AAAUUCAUUGCCAGGCAUAGAUGAUUCUCCACAACCUCUGACUGUAAAAUUUUGCAACUGAAUCUUCUAAUACUUGGCAUUACAAUCAAUGUACUACUCAGAACAUAUACAUAGUCACUUUGGAUAACUAUUUUGAGCUGUCUGUCUUGAAACUCCUAAAUGUCGAGGCUGAUAUCAAUGGAGCUCGGAAAUCGGCCGUUCGGUUAUCGGAAUUCUAGGGUUUUGAAUCGGCG